UACAGAGGGUGCAAGCGUUAAUCGGAAUUACUGGGCGUAAAGCGCGCGUAGGUGGCUUGUUAAGUCGGAUGUGAAAGCCCCGGGCUCAACCUGGGAACUGCAUCCAAAACUGGCAAGCUAGAGUACGGUAGAGGGUGGUGGAAUUUCCUGUGUAGCGGUGAAAUGCGUAGAUAUAGGAAGGAACACCAGUGGCGAAGGCGACCACCUGGACUGAUACUGACACUGAGGUGCGAAAGCGUGGGGAGCAAACAGG
rnacentral:rRNA from 1 species